UACAGAGGUCCCAAGCGUUGUUCGGAUUCACUGGGCGUAAAGGGUGCGUAGGCGGUCGGGUAAGUCUGACGUGAAAUCUCCAAGCUCAACUUGGAAAUGGCGUCGGAUACUAUUCGGCUCGAGGAAUGGAGGGGAGACUGGAAUUCUCGGUGUAGCAGUGAAAUGCGUAGAUAUCGAGAGGAACACCAGUGGCGAAGGCGAGUCUCUGGACAUUUCCUGACGCUCAGGUGCGAAAGCUAGGGGAGCGAACAGG
rnacentral:rRNA from 1 species